CGGUUCAAUCCCCAGUGCCGCCAUGAAAAAUAAAUAAAUAAACCUAAUUACUUCCCCCCUAAAACAAACAAACAAACAAACAAAAACCCUAAAAUUCAGAAGCCCUAGCUGUGGCUGCUGGAAGUCGGGAAUACUUACAGAAGUCCUUAAAGCCUUACACGGCCCCUGCCAGCAGUUCUAGAUGGUACCUCCCCACUGGUACCCGGGCCCGUGGCAAAUCAGAGGUGCCAGGCGCUCGCCGCGAGCCUGGGGCCGUGCUGUUGUCAGUGAAGGAGCAGUCCGUGCAUUGCAUCCCUGCCUCCCGGGCGUGUGGCCGUGGAGGACUCCAGGCUGAUGUGUCUGUCUGUCUGUGUGUGUCGCUGCCUUUUGUAUUUGAUGAGGCGGAGGUUGUACCGUUUCUGUUGACAGCAGGGCUUAUUUGCGACUUCCUCCCUGAGGCAGUGCGUCCCGUUUACAGUCUUCUGCAGCUACAGUGGGCACUGUCGCUGUAGGAGGAGCCCGUACAGCCGAGGUGGGCGCAUAGCUGUGGCGCCCUGUAGAGCUGCGGGGCUUGCUCUAGCUGCCGGCUCAAUCUCGCCGUCUGUGUGCGCAGGUUUCUGUGCUCAAAGCCAACUGCAGUCUGAGAUACGCUGUACCGGGGAGUUUCUAAUAUGGUAGAAGGCGACUGUAGACUCAUAUGUAAUCGUGAUCUAUAAUUGUGAACUCAGAACGCAGGUGGGGGUACAAAACGCAUUGUCCUUGAUAAUGAAGAUCCUGUGAACUAGCCUCUUUGAACCGUUUCUCCAGUUGUGGGAAAGUAGAUGGGGCUAGAUUGGCAUGAGGCUGGCAUAUUUGAAACAUUUUUUAUAAAUUACAUGAAAAAUAUGUGUUUAUUGUUUCACCAUCUAGGAAGAAUCAGCAGUAACCAGUAAUACUUCAGAGUAUCUGCUUGCAAUACAUUUUCUGUGCACACAGUAUGCAUUUGUAAAUAUUUGUGUUUAUUUUUAUAAAAAUAGGAUCAUGCUACCUUUCUUUAAUGAAUUCUUUUUCUUUUUUCCUCUUUCACCCCUUGACGGAGGCACUGGGGACUGAGCCCAGGACCUCAUGCGCACCAGGCACGUGCUCUGCCACUGAGCUGCACCCCCAGUCCCGAUACGCUACCUUUCUAAAGCCAGGAUUUUUACUGAGUGAUACCCUGAGUGUCUUUUUGUGUCAACCACUGCGUAAUCUCAGGCUUUACUGUAACUUAUUUAAGCAGGACCUAGUUUUAUGCAGAGUUUUCUCCUCCAGCUUUUUACCACUGUACACAGUGCUGUGAUGAACGUCCUCAUCACCAAAUGUAUAUUGUCUGUCAGAUAAAUUCCUAGAAGUUGUAUGGCGGGGUCACAGGAAGUGCAGAUUUUCUAAGAUGCAGCUCUUUCUAAGAUGCAGCUCUGCCAGAUGGUAUCCCAUUACCUCUCGGCCGCCUUCCGUUUCCACCACUAGGAAGCGAACAGGUGCCCGUUGGCUGAGAUACCCCCUUCGCUGGGCUCUUUUGAAUUUCAAAAGAACUAGAUAAGAGAUUGUCAGCCUGCAUUGGUUUAUGUUCCAAGAACAACUCAAACUAGACGCCAAGCUGAAAGUGGAAGGCCUUAGCAAAUACUUGAUGAUCACUUAAUCCUGUAGCGUCUCGGAAGGGCACUGUCUGUGUACCAGAGUGACAUGAACAGAAGCAUCUGGAUUUGCAGAAAAGCACGUGAAGGGCCAGGCACAGGACUAAAGGCAAUUGAAAUAUGAACUGUAAAUCUCUACGGGUGGUGGGAUGAUGAACUAUUUUUAUGCUAGUCUUUCAUCCUUUUUAUUAAAUGAAGCCUUAUAUAA